ACUCAAAGAUGAGGGAAUUUUCUGAUCAAAUUUUUGAACCUCUCCCAAGCUUCAUAAAGUGAUUUUGACUCAUGUUGCAUACAAGAAGUGAUAUCAUUCCUCAACUU